CGCUGAAUCCCCGGCCCAUCUUCUCCCGCGCUCAUAUUCUCUGCCCGGAAGCCGUCGCCUCCCUCCUCCUCUUCCAAUUUUUAUCCAAGACUAUUACCCCAUCUUCUCCCUCGCAUACAAUCGCAUUAUGGGCUAGUUGAGAUGGCAACGAAAGAUCGCAGCAUACAGAGACCACCAGAAUACAUCAAAUAAAUAACAGGUAGUAGAUUACUUAGGCUUGCACAAAAUAUUAUUUCUAGAGGUGUGCCUAGUAGGAUGAAAACGGUCGAUCAACUAAUUCACAUUCUACACUAAUGCAUCCUGAUUCAAUGAAUAAAGAUCCCAAUGAUACUCUGAAAACCUCUCGACCAUUAUAUCACAGUUCAGGAUAGCAGGCUCAUCGCACAGAUGUGUGAUCUUACUUAUAGAUAAUCAAGGGGUUUUGGUGCAAUGAAGGGUAUGAAUGACACGUGCAAAUCUUUAAAAUCUAUCUUUAAGCACAUGCAUGCAAAUAGAAGUAAAUGAUAAUGAUUUGUCAUGCAACAUAUCAGAGUCUAUUAUAUUGAUAGUGAUUAUAUGUUGGCACCCAUAUCAUUUUUUGGCCAUAUACAUUGUUGGAUUUUAAAAUAUGUUGACUCUAAACGGUAUAACUAAAAGAAUAACCUAAAGUCGGGGCAUUAAGAUAGUCGUCCCAUACAGGAGAUUAUGGAGGAUUUGCCUAAAGGAGUCGACACAUUUCAAUGGUGACAUAGUGGUGAAUUAGAUGAUCAGGUUUUCAUUUUAUUAUCUAAUUUUGAAUUGAACAAAAGAAUUAAUAUUUUUAAUUGCAAA